rnacentral:snoRNA from 1 species
AUCUGAUGACAUCUGAUGACGAGUCUCAUUUGGUCUCGCCAAUGCAGACAAACAUCCCUAUUUACCAUUCAUGCUUCACUGAUU